CUUUGGUGGCGACCGGCGCACGGGUGCGUAACGCGUAUGCAACCUACCUUUAACAGGGGCAUAACACUGAGAAAUUGGCACUAAUUCCCCAUAACAUUCGAGAAGGCAUCUUCUUGGGUUAAAAACUCCGGUGGUUAAAGAUGGGCAUGCGUUGUAUUAGCUAGUUGGUGGGGUAACGGCUCACCAAGGCGACGAUACAUAGGGGGACUGAGAGGUUAACCCCCCACACUGGUACUGAGACACGGACCAG
rnacentral:rRNA from 1 species